AAAGCCGAUUAACGCAAUGUGAAAAAAAAAAACAAAAAACACAGAAUCGGAAAAAGAAGCAUCAUCGCAUUAUCAUCGACUCACCAACGAAAAACGCUGCAUUACACUAUCGGUGUCAGAAAAAGAACGAAAGCUCAGAAAACACACACACAAACACAAAGUGAAGAAAACGAAACGGAAACGAGAAAAAUGGAAACUUUGCCAUUACCAAAGUGUGCGGAUCGUGAUGUUUGAUUCAUAAAGCGACACACGCCCUUUGCUUUUAUGCUCCGGCAAUGCAUCAUCAUCUGCCAUAGAUCCUUAGCUUCGCAGAAUAAUUUCUACAGACCCAUGUUGAUUCUCUCUUUUUGAUUGUUCCAAGGAUCCGUUUUUUUGUGACUUAGCUGGUGCAUUAGCUUUUUAGGUUCCUUGCAAAUCGAAAGAAUCAACCUUGCCUUGCACGUAAGUACGAAUUCGACGCGUUCAGUUCAGGGUUCAUUCUCGCACCACUACCACCGGUCUCUCUCCUGCAUCUGCUGCCUACUGCUACUGCCAAUAGACUAUCUCCAGGAGGAGCCCCAUCAUUAGCUCCCGGGAAUGCAGCAUCAGCAUUGAUCCCCUUUUCAGAUGAACUGGUCUGGGUCUGAAUCUGAAUCUUGGGACGUGCUUUGGAAUGGCUCUGCAUAGAACCAAUGGGGAAUUGUUCACUGAGAGAAGAAGCAUCGAUGAUGCAGUUUUCAAUUCUUUUGAAAAAAGUGAUCAUGGCUCUAGAGUUUUACGUCGUGGUCGAAAGUUUGGUCGGAUUACUAAACACAAACUUUCACGCUGGAUUUUCCUUCUCACAGCACUCCUUUCAAUACUUUUAACAGUUUAUGGUUUGAAAAUGUUUUUUCAAGCUAAAAUGGAAUCCAAGUUCUCAACAAUACCACACAGUAUACAAGAAGAACGUAACCUACAAGAAAAUAUUGUGGUAUCUGAUGAUGGAAAGACGUCUAAAGAAAAUAUUGUGGUGUCUGAUGAUGGAAAGACAUCUAAAGAAAAUAUUGUGGUGUCUGAUGAUGGAAAGACAUCUAAAGAAAAUAUUGUGGUGUCUGAUGAUGGAAAGAUGUCUAAAGGGAAGCGCCGAAAGCAUUUUCCGUGUGAAGUUGGACUUCUGGAAUCAGUAGAUGGCCUUGUUGAACCCAAAAAUUAUACGAACUUUACAUGGUUUUCUCUAGAGUAUGUUGACCGUGAAGAUAGAACAUCCAAAAUUGAUUUAUUUGAACCUCGAUUUGGAGGACAUCAGACUCUAGAGGAAAGAGAAACUUCAUUUUAUGCAAAAAACCAGACUCUUCAUUGUGGUUUUGUAAAAGGGCCACCAGGACAUCCAAGCACUGGAUUUGAUAUAAAUGAAAAGGAUAAGGCAUAUAUGUACAGAUGUAAAGUUGCAGUUUCUUCUUGCAUUUUUGGAAGCUCUGAUUUCCUACGGAGGCCUACAAGUAAACUGAUGAGUCAAUAUUCAAAGGACAAUGUUUGUUUUGUUAUGUUCCUGGAUGAUCAAACGCUAUCCAAACUUUCAUCAGAAGGAAGCAGUCCUGAUGAGAAAGGGUACAUUGGCUUGUGGAAAAUAGUUGUUGUAAAAAACUUGCCAUAUGAAGACAUGCGGAGAACUGGCAAGGUGCCAAAAUUUUUAUCACACCGCCUCUUCCCAAAUUCUAGGUAUUCAAUUUGGCUUGACAGCAAGAUGCGACUCAACUCUGACCCUAUGCUGAUUAUUGAAUAUUUUUUGUGGCGAAGGAAGGCAGAGUAUGCCAUUUCAAAUCACUAUGACCGCCACAAUGUUUGGGAGGAGGUACUCCAAAAUAAGCGCUUAAAUAAAUACAACCAUACAGCAAUUGAUGAACAGUUUAACUUUUACCAGUCUGAUGGCCUCCCCAAGGUUGACCCAUCAAAGCCAAAUGAUCCUCUUCCGAGUUAUGUUCCUGAGGGUUCUUUCAUAAUCAGGGCACAUACACCAAUGUCAAAUUUAUUUUCAUGUCUUUGGUUCAACGAAGUUGAUCGAUUUACAUCUCGUGAUCAACUAAGCUUUGCUUAUACUUAUUUGAAACUUAGGAGAAUGAAUCCAGAGAGACCAUUUCAGCUAUAUAUGUUCAAGGUGAAUUUUUAACACAUUUAACCAUACAACAAUCAGUGCAUUGCCAUAUAAAGGGAGGGCUAUUUUUAUGAGUGAGAGGAACAAAUGUAGGCCACUAAAUCUUACAUGGAUGGAUUGUGAACGUAGAGCAUUAGUGAAGCUAUUCCGGCAUAGGGCACUCCCAUCUCUGCCAGAGACUGCUUGAUCAGUUCCAGAUAUAUAAGGUGCCUUUUGCUGCUGCAUGAUCAUGUACUGUUCAUUUUGAUUAUUUUGAGUGCCAUUAUAAGAAUAUGGCUCUUUAUUAUUUAUUUGUUAUCACUAACUGUUUUCUUUGAUGAAUUAGCUCACUCAAGCAAAUAAGAUUUUUAGGAAGUAUCUCAUAAAUUGUGUAAUGAUAGAAUUCAUGUCAUUUAAAGUUAUAUCCAUUGCUUGAAUUAGGAAGUUGAAACUUGGAUACCUCUACAUAUCAAUUUAGACUUGCAUCCAAAGUAGUAGGGUCUGCUUAUUAUGGCUGAAAGUGUGAAAAGCAAUAUUGAACAAGUUGAAAAUUCGGAAGAAGAAAACAUCAUCUAAUGCUUGAUACAAUAAAAUUGAGAAAUGGUUGAAAAUGGGAUGUGCCUUUUUUCAGUUUUGACCCUCUCGUGACCAGAGUGAAACUCAAAACCUCACAAUAUUUAGUCUUUAUUUUGCACCUUCCCACUAAGCACACUCUUGAUCUUCUUUCUUAAGCUCCUAAGUCCUAACAAGACAUGAUAUGUGAAGGGAUGCGCACUACACUAAGGGCGCAGGUCAUCAUAUUUAACAUCCCUUCCAGCUUGGCUAGCCUGACAAGACACACGUGAUAUGUUUUAAGCUGGACCAAAGAGACAAACUCAUUCCUUGCAGCAUAGUGGAUUCUUAUUCUUCCCUGCAACCUCGGCUGAAGAGUGAUUGCAGGUGCAUUUUUGUGGCCAAGGUUUACUCCAUUAUGGGGUUCAGUGGAAGUUCUUUAUGAGGGAAGGGCAAGUUGAUCAAGGUUUUAGUUUUGUUUAGCUUCCUCAUGUUUAGUGUCAAAUAUGGGGGAUGGGGUGAUUUUGCUAACAUGUAAGAAUACUUUCUUUUUUCUUUGUGUAGCAUGCAGCAGGUUCUCUUUCCUCUCCCAUAAGUAGAGGGUAUUGGCUGGUCAUAAAACUGUAAAUUGCCUUUUAUUUUAGUAACAUUUCUGGUGAAGAGGAUUUUUCUUUCUGUAGCGUGUGUCCUCAUAUCAAAAUAAAAAAAUCAACCACUUUUCUUUA